UGGGAGGUUCCGACAGGAUGUGCAGGA
rnacentral:piRNA from 1 species